GAUGUGCCCAGAUGGGAUUAGCUAGUAGGUGGGGUAAUGGCUCACCUAGGCGACGAUCCCUAGCUGGUCUGAGAGGAUGACCAGCCACACUGGAACUGAGACACGGUCCAGACUCCUACGGGAGGCAGCAGUGGGGAAUAUUGCACAAUGGGCGCAAGCCUGAUGCAGCCAUGCCGCGUGUAUGAAGAAGGCCUUCGGGUUGUAAAGUACUUUCAGCGGGGAGGAAGGCGGUGAAGUUAAUAGCUUCACCGAUUGACGUUACCCGCAGAAGAAGCACCGGCUAACUCCGUGCCAGCAGCCGCGGUAAUACGGAGGGUGCGAGCGUUAAUCGGAAUUACUGGGCGUAAAGCGCACGCAGGCGGUCUGUCAAGUCGGAUGUGAAAUCCCCGGGCUUAACCUGGGAACUGCAUUCGAAACUGGCAGGCUAGAGUCUUGUAGAGGGGGGUAGAAUUCCAGGUGUAGCGGUGAAAUGCGUAGAGAUCUGGAGGAAUACCGGUGGCGAAGGCGGCCCCCUGGACAAAGACUGACGCUCAGGUGCGAAAGCGUGGGGAGCAAACAGGAUUAGAUACCCUGGUAGUCCACGCC
rnacentral:rRNA from 1 species